rnacentral:rRNA from 1 species
GACGAACGCUGGCGGCGUGCUUAACACAUGCAAGUCGAACGGUGAUGAUCAAGCUUGCUUGGUCUGAUCAGUGGCGAACGGGUGAGUAACACGUGAGCAACCUGCCCCAGACUCUGGGAUAACCCCGGGAAACCGGAGCUAAUACCGGAUAUGACACUCGCACGCAUGUGCUGGGUGUGGAAAGUUUUUCGGUCUGGGAUGGGCUCGCGGCCUAUCAGCUUGUUGGUGAGGUAGUGGCUCACCAAGGCGACGACGGGUAGCCGGCCUGGGAGGGCGACCGGCCACACUGGGACUGAGACACGGCCCAGACUCCUACGGGAGGCAGCAGUGGGGAAUAUUGCACAAUGGGCGAAAGCCUGAUGCAGCGACGCCGCGUGAGGGAUGACGGCCUUCGGGUUGUAAACCUCUUUCAGCAGGGAAGAAGCGCAAGUGACGGUACCUGCAGAAGAAGCACCGGCUAACUACGUGCCAGCCGCCGCCGUAAUAC